rnacentral:rRNA from 1 species
UAUAGAGGUCCCAAGCGUUGUUCGGAUUCACUGGGCGUAAAGGGUGCGUAGGUGGUAAGGUAAGUCGGAUGUGAAAUCUCCAGGCUCAACCUGGAAAUGGCAUCGGAAACUACCUUGCUCGAGGUUUGGAGGGGGGACUGGAAUACUUGGUGUAGCAGUGAAAUGCGUAGAUAUCAAGUGGAACACCAGUGGCGAAGGCGAGUCCCUGGACAACACCUGACACUGAGGCACGAAAGCUAGGGGAGCAAACAGG